rnacentral:rRNA from 1 species
GUCAAGUCAUCAUGGCCCUUACGCUUGGGGCUACACACGUGCUACAAUGGCCGGCACAAAGGGCUGCAAACCCGCGAGGGUGAGCGAAUCUCAAAAAGCCGGUCUAAGUUCAGAUUGCAGUCUGCAACUCGACUGCAUGAAGUCGGAAUCGCUAGUAAUCGUGGAUCAGCUACGCCACGGUGAAUACGUUCCCGGGCCUU